GUGGGGAAUUUUGGACAAUGGGCGCAAGCCUGAUCCAGCAAUGCCGCGUGCAGGAAGAAGGCCUUCGGGUUGUAAACUGCUUUUGUACGGAACGAAACGGUCCUGGUUAAUACCUGGGGCUAAUGACGGUACCGUAAGAAUAAGCACCGGCUAACUACGUGCCAGCAGCCGCGGUAAUACGUAGGGUGCGAGCGUUAAUCGGAAUUACUGGGCGUAAAGCGUGCGCAGGCGGUGCUGUAAGACAGGCGUGAAAUCCCCGGGCUCAACCUGGGAAUUGCGCUUGUGACUGCAGCGAUGGAGUGCGGCAGAGGGGGAUGGAAUUCCGCGUGUAGCAGUGAAAUGCGUAGAUAUGCGGAGGAACACCGAUGGCGAAGGCAAUCCCCUGGGCCUGCACUGACGCUCAUGCACGAAAGCGUGGGGAGCAAACAGGAUUAGAUACCCGUGUAGUCC
rnacentral:rRNA from 1 species